UACGAAGGGUCCAAGCGUUAUCCGGAUUUAUUGGGUUUAAAGGGUGCGUAGGCGGCUUAUUAAGUCAGUGGUGAAAGACUUCAGCUUAACUGAAGAACUGCCAUUGAUACUGAUGAGCUUGAAUAUACUUGAGGUUGGCGGAAUGUGUCAUGUAGCGGUGAAAUGCUUAGAUAUGACACAGAACACCGAUUGCGAAGGCAGCUAGCUAAAGUAUCAUUGACGCUGAGGCACGAAAGCGUGGGGAGCAAACAGG
rnacentral:rRNA from 1 species